AANACAACUCUCGGCAACGGAUAUCUCGGCUCUCGCAUCGAUGAAGAACGUAGCGAACUGCGAUACUUGGUGUGAAUUGCAGAAUCCCGUGAACCAUCGAGUCUUUGAACGCAAGUUGCGCCCAAAGCCAUUACGCCGAGGGCACGUCUGCCUGGGCGUCACG
rnacentral:rRNA from 1 species